AGUGAACGCUGGCGGUAGGCCUAACACAUGCAAGUCGAACGGCAGCAGAGUAAUAGCUUGUUCUUACGGGUGGCGAGUGGCGGACAGUUGAUGAAUAUAUCGGAAGCUACUUGUUCGUGGGGGAGAACGUAGGGAAACUUACGCUAAUACCGCAUACGACCUACGGGUGAAAUCAGGGGAUCUUCGGACAUUGCGCGAUUGAAUGAGCCGAUGUCGGAUUAGCGAGUUGGCGGGGUAAAGGCGCACCAAGGCGACGAUCCGUAGCUGGUCUGAGAGGAUGAUAAGCAACAUUGGAACUGAGCCACGGUCCAGACUCUUCCGGGAGGAAGCAGUGGGAAUUAUGGGCCAAUGGGCGCAAGCCUGAUCAAGCCAUCCGGCGUGGGUGAAGAAGGCCUUCGGGUUGUAAAGCCCUUUUGUUGGGAAAGAAAAGAAGAAGGUUAAUCCCCCGCUGUUCGGCCGGAACCAAAAGAAUAAGCACGGGCAACUUCCGG
rnacentral:rRNA from 1 species